CCAGAAAGGAUGCAGUGUUGGAGUGCAGCUGAGAUAUGUCCUAAACUACCUAGACCAUCAACACACACAGGUGGAGAAAGUUCCUGGUCUUCUCAUCACUUCUUUGCAUCUUCACCAAAUAGGCUCCACAUCUAUAAGGUCCAAGGAACUAGUCAGUCCCUGGCUGUUGGAGAACAGUUCUUGGGAUACUUACCAGGGUCUCCACCAUGUUGGAUUUGUUGUUACGCAGUGUUUUCACGAUGUGGAACACGUCAAUGAUGUUUUGCUGCUGGAUCAUCUCACACACACUGCAGACGGCACAGAAUGUUCCACUGCGGCCUCCCCCAUUUCUAAACAUAGAGAAAAGAGGAACAUCUGGACGGAAACGAAGACACUCAGUCAAUCUCCCAGAUGUUUUAUCUACAGGAUAUGCAAUGACCAGAUGUUUCAAGUACAGAGAGUUGCUUUCCAUUCACUGACUGGUGCCUGCAUUCAGGGUCUGUUAUGAUGUCUGUGGCCCUCAAGGAUACCAAGAUUUCUGUUGGCAGAAGAAUGUCCCUGUCCCUUCCUUUGGUUCAAAGUACUGGCCACCUGGGCUGGAAAGGACAUGGAGAAAAAGGCACUACUGGAAAAAGAAAGCACGCUAAAAAACAAAUGUGGGAGACAGAGAGAGUAGGGUCUCCUAGGAAAGGAGGAGACCCCACUCAAGCAAGAAUAACAGCGUCCAAGAGGAAGAGAUAAAGUGUGUUUACUUUGUAUUUCAUGCCAAGGCAUUAUCGGGUCUGGAGAUUGUCUAAUUCAACAUAACCAUUGAACAGAUGAGGAAACUGAGGCUUACAAAUUCAGUGAUUUUCUUGAUGUUGCACAGCUCAUCAGCCACUGUCCUCACAAGGUCCUGACCUCCACACAUAAUGACAUCAGAAUUCAUUGGAGGACAACGUCCAUUCGAGGAGUGCCUGGCCCAGAGCGUAUGGGAUCCAAUCAAAGUCUGCAUCAACUCAUGGCAGUACAGUGAGACACAGUGGGGAAGAGCUAAUGUCUAAGAAGUUUUGUCUACAUGGCAGCAAGUGUGUCAGGAAACAGGCAGAUGGCAGGUUGGAUGCCGCUCAUUGAAUCUCUAUGUGUUGGAGUCAUUGCUGAGUCUGGAGCCGGAAUCAGCACAGGCCUCACUUCCUCAAGGAAGAGAUUAUCAGGAGAGCACAACACAGACUCUUGGCUGGCUCAGCAGAAUCCUCUCUCGGCAGCCUCCAUCUGUUUUGGGGAGGAGGGGCUCAGCAAGCAAUGGCUGCCGUGCACUUACCCGGGCCAUGUUACAGAUGCGGAAUAUUCUGUGGAUGAUGUCCUCAUCUAUGUCUGCAGAGACGAACUCCACCUGGAUGGGCCCGUAGCACCCAGAGGUCUUCUCAGGCCAGUACUGCAUACAGAACUGGGAUAAGGAAAGAGGAGGUCAAAGGCAAGGGGGACUGCGUUGGUCUCAUUUAUCACAAACUUUUCUUUUUUUUUGAGACGGAGUUUCAUUCUUGUUGCACAGGCUGGAGUGCAGUGGUGCAACUUCCACCUCCUGGGUACAAGCAAUUCUCCUGCCUCAGCCUCCUGAAUAGCUGGGAUAGGCAUCCACCACCACACCUGGCUACCUUUUGUAUUUCUAGUACAGAUGGGGUUUUGCUGUAUUGGCCAGGCUAGUCUUGAACUCCUGAUCUCUGGUGAUCCACCGUCUUGGCCUCCCAAAGUGCUAGGAUCACAGGUGUGAGCUACCGUGCCCGGCCAUCAUCAAGCUUUUCUUAUGACUGGCAGGACAUACUGGCCAGAAAGGUAGAAUAUUAUGUAGGAAAUCAGACUCAGUUUCCCCUUUAGGGACCAGCCAGCCACUCUUCCCAGUGUUGAAAUAUCAAGGCUUUGAGCACAGAAACACUGGGCUGACAAAUCUUUGCUACGCUGAUUUCAAACCAUUUCUUAGGCUUGCUGAACCUGAGUUUCCUCAUCUGUAAAAUGGGAAGAAUCACAUCUACCUUGAAGCCCGGCUGUCAAGAUUACAUAGAACAUGCUAAAGAAAGGGCAAGUACAGUCUAGUUUUCUUUUCACCACGCAAAUUAUAGCAAACUCUUCCUCAUUCCAGGGAAACAUUCAUAGUGUUCAUUCAUUAUCAGAUCCAAAGCAGUUUAAAAUAUAUAGGAGUUGGAUCUCAAAUCUGGGCUGUGCUGCUUACCAGCUGUGCAGCCCAGGCCUCAGUUUUCUCAUAGGUUAAAGUGGGGAUAAUUAUGCUUAUUUUGCACCAAAAGAUAAUGUCACAUGGUGCUGACAGAUCUUGCCCAUGAUUUGUCCUAUUUAUCUGGAAUUGGAACUUAGAAUUUACAGCUGAGAGCAAAAGGCAAUGACUGACCUUCAGUCUAAGACAGUGGUUCUCAGUCGGAGGCUGUUUUGUUCCCCAGGGGGCAUCUGGCAGUGUCUGAAGACUUUUUGAUUGUCACACCUGGGGGUUGCUAUGGGCACUUAGUAAGUAGAGGAGAAAAUGAUACUAAACAUCCUGCAAUGCACAGACUAGCUCCCCCCGAGAGUUACUUGGCCCCAAAUAUCCAUAGUGCAGAGAUUGAGAAAACCUAGUCUAAGAUCGUAAAUUAUUCUUUACAUGUACAGGGGUCAUCAAGAAGAAGAGAUGGAGGCUGAAUGUGGUGGCUCACGCCUGUAAUCCCAACACUUGAGAGGCUGAGGCGGGUGGAUCACGAGGUUAGGAGUUCGAGGCCAGCCUGACCAAGAUGGUGAAACCCCAUCUCUACUAAAAAUACAAAAAUUAGCCAGGUGCAGUGGCGGACACCUGUAAUCCCAGCUGCUCAGGAAGCUAAGGCAGGAGAAUCACUUGAACCCAGGGGUGGAGAUUGCAGUGAGGCAAGAUCAUGCCACUGUACUCCAGCCUGGGCAAUAGAGCAAGACUCUGCCUCAAAAAAGAAAAAAAAAAAAAAGAAGAGAUGGAUACCUUGUUUCCUUGUUUCUUUGUCUCAGUUGAGCCACUAGAUAACUUCAGUUUAGGAGAGAAUGUUGAGGUGGUGUUGGGGUGUGUGGCUGCAGCGAGUAGUAAGGCAUGCUCCCUCAAAUUCCUGGUUCCCAAGGGACACAGAGAUGGACCCUCCCUAGGUCUACAGAACCCAGUGGUGGGGUACAGAGGAGAGUCAAGGCUGGGGCUGCAGGCUUGCUGGGGACCACCACAACAUGGACAAAGAGCCCAUGUGUUAGAUAGACCCUGCAUCUGGGGGUUGCCCUGAAGAUAUAGCCAAGGUUCACAAAGAAGGCCUACGAGACUCUGAGAGCAGUUUGUGAUUGAGUCUCUCAUCAGGGGUUUUGGUUCAGGCUACCCCAAGCUUGCAGAUAAGGGGCUAGUUUGACAGAAGUGACCCCCCCACCCCACAGAUGCAGGGUUUUCAUCAAAGGGGAGCUUGCUCUUUGCUUUGUGGCCGAAUAACAGCCAUCUCACAGUGAGAAGUCAUAUGUGAAAAUAUCUUCAUUCUCUCCUUCCUCCAGAACUACAGUUAGAAGGCAAGAGCAGGGAGCAGAAAGGAUGUAGGAGAUGGAAACUCAUAUCUUCCACCUUCUUAGCUGUGGAAUCCCACAAUUCUAACUCAGCAAUAUUCACCUUAUAGCAGCAGUUGGCAUACUAUUGCCCACAGAAUCAGCUGCCUAUUUUUGCAAAUCAAACUUUGCUGAAACACAGCUACUCUUAUUCAUGUAUGUAUUGUCCACAGUUGCUUUCAUGCUACAGCCACAGAGGUAGGUCGUUGUAACAAAGACCAUAUAGCCUGCAAAACCUGAAAUAUUUCCUAUCUGGCUUUUUACAGAAAAAGUUUGGCAACCCCUGCUUUAUAGGGUUGUUGUGAGGAUAAAGGGCAUAAUUCAUGUAAAUAAAGCCCUUACCACAAUGCCAGGCAUGGAAUAAGCAUUUACUAAAUUGCAAUGAUUCAUACCAUUAUUGAACCCAUCAGUGCUCAACAAAAAUAAUAAUGAUAAUAGCUAUCAUAUAUAAAUUUGAAGGAUUCUUCUUAUCACCCCUCAUAAAUAGCAUAAGUAGGCAAGGUUAAGCUUCAGAAUGCAAUGAUGCCUUGCUUUACUGGCGUCUCCACGGGGGGCUGGCCAAGAAUAGGGACAAAGGAGCUCUGAGCGUGUGUGUGUGUGUGUGUGUGUUGUCGGGGUGCUGGUCACAGGGGCCUCCGUCGCUGGACAACCAUCUGCUGAGCUGUGCAAUAAUGACAAAUCCACAAUUUGAACUUCAUUUCUCUUUGCCAUUUGCUUGUCUGCCUUGCAACCUUCACAGUAAUGAGAGACUGGUACAGAUAAGUCUAUGGCUGGUCAGAGAAAUCAGAAUUAAUCAGAACUGCCCAUUAAAAAAAAAUAAUUGCCUUUAUCACUUGCCUUGCAUUUACCGUUCCCAGAGUUUGGCUGUGAUCCCGACAUGAGGUAAGGUAUCUUACCAUAUAUCCAAGGUAUCAGGGAAAGCCUGUUACCCCCAGUAUUUUCAGUCAGGAGAGAAUGUGGAAUGAUUUGUCUCUUUUAAUAAGAUUUCCAGACCAAUUUCUCAAGCUAAUAGGUUCUGUGCCUCAAACAAGACUCCUGUAUCUCGGGACACUUCUCUGCAUUCGAUUUUCUGGGUCACUCUCUCAUAAUGCCCAGAGGUCUGGGGAAGGUUGCAGGCUUUUCUAAUCCUAAAUCAAAGUCAUCCUUUCACUUGGGUUCCCUAAUUUGUGAGACUACAGCAGCAACAGAAUGGGUGACAUUCAGCAGGAUGACGUGCUGGCAAAUGUGUGUUUGAUCUGCCAGGGAUCAUCAGGGUCUCUCUGCAGCCUGGGACACUGCAUAUACUGUAGCCAUAGGAAAUAAGAGAGAGAAAGCAGGGGAUUCAGGUGUUCCCUUCCCACUGACUCUCGGGCUCAGAAAUGACUCUAAUCAACAAGAAACAUCCUCUGCGGUUUAGCUCAAGACGGUUCUGGUGUUCAACUGCUGUGGCUGCCCCUGAAUGGAUGCUGCCAUUUUGGUCUGCGUAUGUUGUGUAGCAAAAGGUGGGAAAAUGUGUUGGGGUUUCCUCUUGAAGCUCCCUGGGUUCAGAUCCCAGCUCUAUCACUUUCUAGUUGAAUGGCCUGGCCACAUCUCUUAGCUUCUCCAGGUUGUUAGGAGUGACUAUGAGUUUUAAUGUCUACUUAGCAUAGGGAUCUAGAUCUAGUGAUUCCUUGAUAAAUGUAAGCUGUGAUUAUUAGGCAGUAUGGGGGAGGGUUCCUCAAAACAAGAUGCCUAAAUAGAUUUUUUUUUUCUCUACUUAGUAGCUUUCUCUUUAGAAUAAUACCCAAAGGACUGCCCUUGUGAAAAUUCUGGAUCAGCCAGCUUGGGGUAGCUGUGAAGAUGGGCAGCAUCCUAGAUACAGGAUAGCGCAUGUCAUAAACAAGAGAGCUGCAGUUUCUCUGAUGAGUUGAAUGACCAGAAGAUAUAAGAGAAAGGUUGGGAUCAUAGUAGAACCAAUGAGGUACAGAAGGCAACUCUGUGUGUCACAUAACCCUGCUCCUAACCUCCUAAAUAUUCUGUAAAUUCAUAAUAGCAUGUACAAUGCAUACUGUGCAUGUAUUUCCUGCAGAAACAAGCAAGGAACUGAGCUUGGCUCCCUGGAUCACACAGACAUGGAACAGAGACCACAUAUGUGAGUGGAGGAGUCAGACUUUUCAUAUAAGCAUGUAAGCAUCUGGGAUUUAUACAGCUCCUGGGAGGGAAAGCUUAUGGUUUCUUACGGCUCUGGAAAUAUGAAUUCCAGGAAGCCUACUUGCUUCUUUAAGAUCAUGAGGACCUAGCUGACCUAAAGGCCACACUUACGCUCAGCACAACCUCGGCAUUUUCUUCAUUUAGAUGGAAAACGUUUGAAGUCGGCUGAUCCAAGAAUAGAUUCAAAUUCUUCAGCCUGGAGUCUAGACCAACUGCCUUUUUCUACCUCGUCGCCUGAAACAGGGUCUCAUGGUGUUGCCCAGGAUGGGCUUGAACUCCUGGCCUCAAGCAAUCCUCUUGUCUUGGCUUCCCAAAGUGCUGGGAUUACAGGCAUGAGACACGAUGCCCACCCUCCAGACCCAACUUUCUCACAGGAACUCUGGCUCUGUUACACCACUGUUAACCCUCCAGUUACUCAGAGGUAUUUCUGUGCUCCUGCAAACUCCACGGGUCCCACAAAGGACUAACCCCUCCAAGGGUGCCAAGAGAAAAUGAGAGAGCGGUGUGGGUGGAACCCCAACCCCUACCUACUGCUUCAUCAUGAGCAGCUCUUGAUCAUACCUGUUUCAUACAUUGGGCUUGCACGAAAGCUUUUAUUCAUAGAAAGGGUUCUGUUGUUUACAAAGUAAAAGUCUGAUGCUUGCUAUGCUGCCAUCUGAGACCCCAGCUCCAGAGCCUUGCACCGGGAGCUCUCUGCAACCUGGGCUCUGCAGCAUUUUUCAGCCUCACGACAUUCUUCUCCUUCUGAUAUACCCCAGGCCCAGCCACACUAGAACAUAAGCUGUUCUGCAAGUAAGUGUACAUAUAUUCACCUCCAGCCUCACCUUUGCCUCUGCUGUUCCUUCUGCCUGAAAUGUCUUUUCCCGGUGAGUUCAACCUCCAUAUACCCAAAGCUCCCUGCCUUCUUCAAGGCCAAAGUCACCUUCUUUUUGAAGUCUUCUCUCACCCUCUGGGCAGAAUUAAUUGCUCCCUGCUCCUGGCCAACACAGCACUUCACUGCUGACCUCUAUUAUCACACAGCCACAUGAGGUUGGGACAAUUUGCUCAUCUGUCUCUGUAGCAAGACCAUGAGCUUUUAAAGGGCUGAAACUAUAGCUCAGAUCUGUUUAAAUUUUUUUAUUCCCAUCCAAGGCCUGCACAAGGCCAGUGCUCACAUGGGAAUGCGUUGUUACUUUGAGUUUUAUUCACGGCAGUGAAAGGAUAGAUUUUUAAAAAUCUGAAGGACCAUUCUUACCUCUCCCACCCUAGAAUGGCUGCCCUCCUGUAGGGCACAUUCACUGCUUUGAAGAAAUCCAGAAAUUAUCCCAAGAUACAUGUCCUGAGUAUGGGGAUGUACUGUAGGCACAUGAUGCUUGGAGCUGUCAGACCAGAGGGGCUAAGGCAGGAAGCCUGCCAGGGCACAAGGGUCAACUGUGAGGACCUGGGGCUUGGUGGGAUGGUCAGUGGGUAAAGUGUCCAAGGUUCAAGUCCCAGGCUCUGUUGGUAUAGGCUGCAUUGCAGAGGGGGAAGGGAGUUGAGUGUGGCCAGCAUCUGGGUAUUAGUCAGGGCUGGAAGAGGCAGCCUCCUGACUCUGCAAGCUCUGUGUGAUUUGGAGCAAGACAAUAAUCAAAUGCUUGUGAGAUGGAGCAACAGAGUCUGGUCCUGGGAGGGGAGUUGGACAAAACCCAUAGGCAGGGGGAGUCUCUGCUGGAGGUCUGGGGGGAGGUGACAGGACCCUCUGUAGGCAGAAUGGCUUGCCUGAUGCUCAUGGUCAGACAGUGCUUAUUACAGGACAGCUAGCUGAGGCAGAUGUGGCAGGCAGCGGCUAUGAAGGGCUCUCCCUCCAGGUUUAAAGCAUUGCCCGCCCCCCGACCCACCUAGAGCUUGGCUCAGCCUCCUCCUACCUGGGCAGUGUCCAUCUCAUUCAGCAUCACCACAGAGGAGCAGUUGUAAUCGAACACCAGCCUCCAGAAGUCUGCCACGGUGUUGGGUAGAGGGUGCUGGGUGACCACGAAGGCGGCAGGCUGCUUGUGACUCUGACAAAGACAAGACGGAGGCUUCGUAAAUUACACAUCCAUCAGCGAUAUUCUGAUGAUGAUGAGGCCCGGACUGAGGCCAGAGGCUCUCGAGCCUGCCAAAUAGAUUAUACAAAGCACCUGCCUGUUCUUUUAUCUCUCCAUGCCCUGGCGGCAAAGGGGGACCAUCUCAUAAUGAACACAUUCUCCUCCAAACUAAGACAUUUCAUUAGGAAAGUGUCACCUGGAUGGGGAUUAUCCAAAUAAAUUAUUUAUGCCCUGGAGCUCAGCAAAUAAUCAUAAUUACAAUAUGAAAUGAAAGAUUUCAGAUGCAGAUUUGUUGCUCUGCUGGUCAAGACACUUCUUGGGAUGUAAAGGAUUGGCCGAGUCCCUGUGCUCAUGAUGAUAGAGGAGGGUUUGGGAGGGCCUGAGGCAGAGUCUCCCGCAGGCUACUUUCUGCCUCCAGGCUAGAAUGAGGGGCUGAGCUGGCCUGGCAAGGUGGGCAGUGGAAAGUAUACAUGUAUUAAGUCCAAUAGACCUGGGGUUCAAGGACAGCUUUACCACUUGUAAGUUAUGAGUCAUCCAUCUGUCCAUCUAUUCACCCAUUCAUUCAUUCGCAGACUUUUUUUAUUUUUCCCCCGGCAGGGUGGGUGCUAAGUACUCUCAAGUUAUUAGAUGAUUCCUGAGCUCAUAUUUUUCACCUGGAAAACUGAACUCAUAAAUCCAAAGGAAUGAUUGUUGCAUAGAUUGAAUGAGAUUUGUGUGUGAAAAGACCACCAAACAGCCUGAACAUAAGCCUACUGGCAGGGCAGAAACACCCCUGACCUUCGUUUACAUCAUGGCACUGGUAUUGUGGCUGGCACACGCUAGACAGCAUCGUUCCGGCGAAUAAGACAAUAAAUUCAGCCCCAUGUUGCAGAUAGGGAAACAGAGGCCCGGAGAAAAUGGACAGUGGGGGUCUGGCAGCUUCAACCAGAGCCCUGUUUUCACACCACCUGAAGUAAUGUGUUUGAAAAGACUGGGGAGAUUCUCCACCUCAUCAGUGGCUCCGGCUCUCGAUAUGUUUUCUCAAGAGAUGGUUUCUGUGGGAGUCAAAGCUGUUCUCAGUGGAGUUACAAGCGAGAAGGAAGAUGAUGAAAGAUUGCAAAGACCCUGGAAAAGGCAGGACAAAGCCUUGCAAACAUGGAUGUCAUGCAUGCAUUAGGGGGGCCCUUCUGCUGAGGGCCUUCUCCUGGCCAGUGGAAUGUUCGGAGGAGGGGUCUGGGUGGGCAGAGGCAAAUUAUUUAUUUUCCAAAAGCCAUACUCUCUACCUGUAGACAGCACUGUCUUUGAGCCAUUUCCAGAUGUGGAAAGAAAUCAAGGCUUUGAGUGUUAACAGACUUGGGGCUCCAUUCCUUGGCUCCCCAUUGCUGAGCUAGUUGACCUUGAGCAAGUGAUGAAAAUACUCUGACCGUGAGGACCUCAUCAGAACAUGGGGAUACAAGUACUCACAUGCAAAAUGAGACAGUGCAAGUCCAGGGCCCGACAUGGUGCCCAACGCUCAGUGAAUGUUAGUUUUCUUUUUCCCUGUCUCUGUGAUAAAUGCUCUAUUAGGCCAGCAUGCCUGACAAAGCCUUAUCUGAAAAUAUGUUCGAGAUCCGUGCUCCUGCUGGGUUUCAGGGAUCAGCCGGCAAUCCAUUUCAUGGAUAACAUCAUCCUUUACCAGGGGAAACAUUAAAAAUUAACCCAGAGGACUUCAUAUUUUUCUGCUAGGAGCAAAGCUGCUAUGGUUACCAGAUAAUGCACCGACUGAGCUGGAAUACAGAUAAGGACUUUUUUUUUUUUUAACAGAAGAAAGGCAAAGGCCCCAGUGAUGGCUCACAGGAGAAAUGCCCUGUGGACAAAGAGAACACAAUCAGCAUCAGAGCUUGGCAGAAGGCAUUUGACUCCAGGCAGUAUCUAACCUAUUAAGUAGAGGCCAGGAGCUUGUUUGAUCUCUGCCUGGAUGAGGAAGGCAGGGAGGGGGUGUUGGGAGAAGUGGGAGACAAAGCUAGGAGGAAUUUGCAAGUGUGGCUGCACCCCCUAGACCCCAUUUCGUACCACACUCACAUAAUGCACACUGACAUGCACAUAUACACAUACAUGUACUCAUUGACUUUAGAAAGCUCUCUAAUGCCAAAGGCCUUCUCUCCACCUCCAGCUAUAUGACCAAGCCAAGACUCCCUGAUUCUGAACCCAGAGCUAGGGUUUUUACAGAGGCUAUAGGCACACGGUGGGCAGAGGUCAGGGCAGACCCCUAGAGAGCUGGGAUAGGCAUUGACUGUCCAUCACUUUCCUUCCUCUAACAAACACCCAGGUCCUUGGGGGAGAAACUUCAGGAGGAUUAGAGGUCAGAGACAUUGUUGGCCUUGACCCCAGGAAAGAGCAUCCCAUGUUUCAGGCCAAGCAUAGAGAACACUUGCUUUACUACACUUCAGGCUGAGAGUCAGCUCUGUGGGGAAGAAGGGGUUGCUAGGCAGGCCUGUACACUUGCCAUGGCAUCACAGGCACCACCUUAAGCUUUUGGUCUAUUCUUUCCAGGCUCUUUGUAUGAGAAAAGGAGCCAAGAGCUCAGCUUGUGUCUAGAUUUGGACCAGAGCCUUUAGGUGGAGCAAAGGUCCUUGGGACCAGAAUAUCAGGAAAAGGGGGGCUGGCUGGUGGGGUCAGGGCCAUGAGGUCCAGCCACUUCCACCUCAGGAAGAAUAUUUGUCCUUGAAUGCCAGCUAGGAGCUUUCUGCCAGGGCACACUUACAUCCAUCAGUGCCGCGUUGAUAUAGUUGCUGGAUUCUCCAUCCACCGAGAUGAGGAAGGGCAGGCAGCGGUCCAGAGGCAGCACGUCCAUGCUUCGAUUCUUAUCAUGGUUCCGGGGCAGAAGCCCAAUGCUGCAGUCCUCGGGCCGCACACGGGGCGUCACAAUGUUGAGGGUCUGUGGGGGCACAAAGGUGGAUAGAUAGGCCCUGCUCCUAUGGUUGCCCCUGAGCAAGGGAGACAGUGAUGUACCAACUCAGCCCAACUUGCCUAUCUCCACCCUCCAAGUGAAGCCCCACUGUCCCUUUCCCAGGACCCAUUCCUCUUCCAUGGUGAUGUUCUUUCCUCUCUUGCUCACUGCUACAGGGUGUGUAAGCUGUGUGACACCUUCAAAAUAACAAGGCUGCAGAAGCAGCACACCCACACACAGGCUCAGACAGUCUCAUAGUACCUGCCAACCACAUGAACUAAGUGGUUCAGCUCAGCCAGUGUUGCAUUAAAGGGUAGGGCAGGGAGGCCGAGGUGGGCAGAUCAUAAGGUCAGGGGUUCGAGACCAGCCUGUCCAAUAUGGUGAAACCCUGUUUCCACUAAAAAAAAUAUAUAUAUACAAAAAUUAGCCGGGCAUGGUGGCACACACCUGUAGUCCCAGCUACUUUGGAGGCUGAGGCAGGAGAAUUGCUUGAACCCAGGAGGUGGAGGGUGCAGUGAGCUGAGAUUGCACCACUGUAUUCCAGCCUGGGCGACAGAGUGAGACUCCCAUUCAAUAUUAAAAAAAAAAAGGGCGGGCCAUCCAGGAGGGCAUAUGGAGGGGUGGGGAUAGGGAAUCCCUGCUGAGUGCUAAACAUCACUUGCAUUGUCAUGGAAUGGGGGAAAUGAUUUCCCAACACUCGGAGAGAAGGCUGAGUAUGGAAGGAUGCCUGGAUGAACUGCUCAGGACAGAUGAGACCCCCAAGGGGCAACUCAAAACAGGUCUGGGAAAUCGCUGUGUUUGGGCUCUGCAGAGUAAGUCUUGCAAGUCUGAGGCGAGAGCUGAACUGCUCUAGCCAGUGGACUAGAUGUUAUGUGCCAUGAUCAGGGUUCUGUGCCCUCCAUCCUUCCCUCAGUUAGCACUCUGUCUCUACUUCAAAUCAAUAAUGGCUGUUUGUUUUAGGGAUUACUAAGGUAUUGGCCUGCCUGGGGUAUCUGUCUGUGGAACAAUGGGUCUGGCAUUUGCCCAAUGACUUGAGGCAACACUUGGAGCUUCCUUGCUUUCUCAUACCUGGUUCUCCGCUCCUGUUGCCCAGGUGGAAUCCUGACAGUGGUCUUGGGAUAAAGGGCUAAACUCUGGCUUUACCUUACUUAGUGAUUCAUAUCCAGGCCUCUUAGACCAAUCAAUGUUCCCACAGCUCUGACCAUGUGGCUUCCAGGUGUGGAUCGAUCUGGUAUGCCUGAGCUAUGUUCUAGGACAGUGCUUCUCAAAGCUAAACAUGCAUACAAAUCACUCAGAGAUCUUGUUAAAUUGCAGGCUGUCAUUCACUAUGUCUGGCUGAGGUCCAAGAUUCUGCAUUGAUAACAAGUUCCCAGGUGAAGCCAAUGCUGCUGGUCUCCAGACCACAAUUUUUUUUUUUUUUUUUUGAGACAGAGUCUUGCUCUGUUACCCAGGCUGAAGUGCAGUAGCGCGAUCUCGGCUCACUGCAACCUCCACCUCCCUGGUUCAAGCGAUUCUCCUGCCUCAGCCUCCUGAGUAGCUGGGAUUACAGGCAUGUGCCACAACGCCUGGCUAAUUUGUUUUGUACUUUUAAUAGGGACGGGGUUUCAUCAUGUUGGCCAACUGCAGACCCCACUUUUAGUAGUAAGAGUGUACUGAAAACACACUGAGAGAACCUGAGUGCCUCCAGGGAUAAAGGAGUAUGAAAUUGACACCUCUUUGUAUAAAUUUAUCUCCAUUCACAACGUGGACUAGAACUGAAUAAGACCUCAGUUAAAAAACAUAAUCACAGUUAAAAACAAGCACCAGCAAUCCCUGAGUGCAUAGUUGCUCAUGGCUAUGCAUUUUGUGUUCUGGAACAGAUUCUGCAGCUUCCUAGAGAAGCAGACAAUGAAAGAGCAUAGACAUAUCCGUUGUCCUGAUGAAAACCCCACAAAUGUGCACGGAGCCGCUGAAGUUGGUUGGGUUACUAUAUGGACUAAGUUUUCAUCCCUCCCAAGAUCCAUGCUGUAAUCUUAACCCGCAAUGUGAUGGUAUUAGGAGAUUGGGACUUUGGAAGAAGAUUAGGUCAUGAGCACAGAGAACUCGUGAAUGGGAUUAGAGCUCUUAUAAGAAGAAACGAGCACUUUGGGAGGCCGAGGCGGGUGGAUCACAAGGUCAAGAGAUCGAGACCAUCCUGGUCAACAUGGUGAAACCCCAUCUCUACUAAAAAUACAAAAAAUUAGCUGGGCAUGGUGGCGUGUGCCUGUAAUCCCAGCUACUUGGGAAGCUGAGGCAGGAGAAUUGCCGGAACCCAGGAGGUGGAGGUUGCGGUGAGCCAAGAUCGUGCCAUGGCACUCCAGCCUGGGUAACAAGAGCGAAACUCCGUCUCAAAAAAAAGAAGAAGAAGAAGAAACAUGUAGGGCCGAGUGUGGUGGCUCAUGCUUGUAAUCCCAGCAAUUUGGGAGACUGAGGUGGGAGAACUGCUAGAGUCCAGGAGUUGAAGACCAGCCUGGGCAACAUAGUGAGACCCUCUCUCUAUAAAAAAUAAAAAAAGAAAUAUGAGACCUGGCUGCUUCUACUUUCUACCAUGUGAAUAUGGAACGAGAAGAAGGCUGUCUGCGUUAGGAAGUGAGCCCUCCCCAGACACUGGAUUCACUGGAAGCUUGAUACUGGGCUUCUCAGCCCCCAGAAAUGUAAUAAAUAAAUGUCUAUCAUUUAAGCUACCCAAUCUAUGGAAAUUUGUUAUAACAACCCAAACUGACUAAGAUAGUCACUGUCUGGGAUUUGCUCAUACCUGAAAUUCAUCUUUGAUUUGGCUGGAGUUCGUCUGGGGGUCCAGCCUGCUGAUAUUGUAGUAGAGAGAGCGGAACUCACACACAGGGAUGGCAGUGUUGCCACAGAGGCACGCUUCGAGGAUGGCAUCGUGUACAAACACGUAUUGCUCCUGCAAAGGCAGGGGAGACGGAAUGGGGUGCCAGGUAAGAAUAGCGGCCUGAGACUUUGCUGUCCACAUUUAGUGUUGUGGCUAUGAAGAAUAGACAUGAUUUAUCAAUAUGUAUAAAUUUCACAACAUGUAUAAAUUGUAUGAAAUUACAAUUAAAAUGCAUAAUGCAUACAAAUUGCUUUGUGCCUGGAUACAUAGUAAUUUCUCAAUAAAUAAUGGCUAUUCAACAAAUCUUUGUUUAAAAUCUAUGAUGCAAUAGAUGCUGGGAUUGGGAGUGGGAAUAUGAAAAUAUUGUUCCUUUCAUGAAGGAUUAAUAAUCUGGGGAGGGAGAGAAAACAUUAAGAGGCAGAGAAUAAUGAUAUUUUAGAGUGUCCACUAUAUGUCAGGAAUUCUCUCUCAGGCACUUAGGCAGAAUUCUUACUUUUCCUAUUGUAACCCAAAGGGCCAGAUUUCCAUGUUUCCUAGUGGUCACCUGAGCUAUGUUUCUUAUUUAAGAUGGAAUAGCAUAGUCACUGAUACAAUUAAAAACUUCUAGACAUGCUGUAGUAGGCACUUUCGGUGUCCACUCCAUUGUCCCCUCAGCUUUCACCUUUACCUAAGGAAGGCUGCUCGCUGCAAACACCUGGGAUUCUCUGCUUAAGGCAGAGAGGAUACUUGGGCUGUGUGGAAAGUAACCCUGAAGCAAUGACAAUGGAGAGUUGAGGAUAGAAAUCUAAUUUCCCUCUCCAUUUAGGUGGAAGCACUUGGACACGCAUGUUCCACACUCCGAGUUCCCCAGCAGAACCAGGCUCCAGUUGUCUACAGGGUUUGACAGCUUGCUAAAGUAGGCUUUGUUUGUUUCCUUCCCUGCUCUGCCUCACUUUCCCACUCACCAGCCAGUGUGUCUUGGGAUCACCUUCCAAGCAAAUUAUCUGCCCGCAAAUCUUUGUCUCACAAUCUGCUCCCAAAACAUGUGUCCUGUCUUCUCCCAUCUCAAUUCUUUGUACCUGCUGUUCUCGCCUCCUGAAACUCCACUCCCUUUUUUCUAUAUCUUUAAUGUUCCAUUCUUUCUGGAAAGCCAUUUGUUAAUCCACCAGGCAGAAGUUGGUAUUACUUCUAGGGCCUAGAUAAAUGUUUGUUGAGUGACCUUUUUCUGCAGAACCUGGUCAGUUUGUCUAUAAAGGGUGCUUAUCCAGAUGCUCUGUGAUACACCUGCAUUUGAAUAUGUCUCCCCCUAUGUCUGACUCCAACCAGCAAGCCUGCCUUCUGCAUGCAUGAACCUGAGAACAGAUAAAGCAGUCUUCUUGGCUUUAACACUAGAAGCCUGAAGACGGGCCUGUGUAAGAGUUAGCUCAGAGCCUAUAUGUGUAAACCAAUCAGUGAUGGUAUUCACUGCAGAGUCAGAAGGCCUAGCUGUGCCAAAGCCAUGGGUCACUUCCCUUUGCAGGACUGAUGAUGUGCGCUGUUCCUUAUCUGUCCCAGCUCUGAUUGCCCAGGGACCCACAGCCUUCACUAGAACAGAAGAUGGGCUCAUUACAGGAAUCAUAAGCCAAGGCACAGAGUGGGAUAAACAGAAAAAAAAUGGUUAGCGAGUUUGUGGUUCUGGUGAAAAAGCAGGAAUCUUUGGGGUCCCAUGGACCCAAGUUCUACCACAGUCUGGUAUGUGAGGUCUUAGGGACACAACUUCUUCCUCACUGAUAAAAUGGAUCUAAUACUAAGAGCUACACCAUAACCGGUUUUGAGGAGAAGAAAAAAAUAUCGUGUAUAGAAAGAAUGUAUGCUGCCUGGCUCACAGUAGGUACACAACGAUAAAGAUUAAUUCCUCUCAUUACUCCUAGGUCUUGGGCUCUCUAACUGCACAGAGAGGUGCCUGAAGGUCUGCUUCUCCCUUGAGGCCAGGGGCUGUGUAUUAUGUCUCUUGAAAUCCCAGCACCCAGCUUAAGUACUCAAUGACUUUGUUGAUUAAACCAUUCCCUGCAGUGACUGUACCAUCUCUUGGCACGUAGUAGUCACUGAAUAAAUGCCAGUCCUUCUCUUUCCUUCUCUAUCAAUCACUUCACCUGAGGCAAGAAUGCCAUUCAAAUAAUCCCUGAAAUUUGUGAUUCUGUCCCUGCUUGGAUGCCCUCAGAGAUGGAGAACUCACCGCCAUUCAUUGGUAGAACUCCCUGCACUGUAGCCCUCCAGGGCUGGCUGGUGUACCCUAGCUUCCACAGUGGUCUCACCAUAGUAAGCCAUGUGUUUAUUCCCUCCUGCUUUUAUCCCACCCAGGUCCCUUUCAAUAGGAGGCCCCCACCUGUGGGUCUCUCAGUUCUAUCAUGUUUCUCCUUGGCCAGGGCUACAGGUGACCGUCUUGUCCCCUAGGACUCACCUCUGUCUGCACUAGGUUGACCCUCUGGGCCCGGAGCUCACGCACGCAGUUGAAGAUGUCCACCACCCCUUCAUUCUCGGCCAUGUCAAGCAUGGUGUCAAUGGCAAUGAAGCAGCCAGUCCGCCCGGCCCCAGCACUGGAAGAGAGGAAUCUCCUGCAGAUACCCAGAGAGCACUGAAUAGGAAGAAUCUGUUUGAUUGUUCAUUCCUUCAGUUAAAAAAUCAUAAACCAAGUGUGACCUGUCCCCAGCUUUGUGCUGGGUACUAGGAAGGUGAGAAUAAAAGACACAGCUCCUAUCCCUGGCCUUGUGGGGGAGGCAGAUGCCCAAGUGGGUAAUUCUAUUGAAGUGUAUCAAGGAGUGCCUGCUAACUUGAUCUGUGGAGAGGAAAAAUCAGAGAAGGCUUUCUGGAGGAGGCGAUGCUUGACCUGAAUCUUGAAACAAGUAGUGAAAAUAACAGCUAACAUUAACUAAGCAUUUACUCUGUACCAGUCACUUUUCUGAACACUUCAAUGUCCUAACUUAUUUAAUCCUGAUACCAAUCCCUAUAAUUUUAUCUCCAUUUAAUGAAUCAGGAAACUGAGGCUAAGGCAAGGUUAAGUAACACGCCCAAGGUCACAGUACAACUCGAGUUGUAAAGGGAUGAUGUGAACCCUGGCUCUCUGCCUCCAAAGUCUGCACUCUUAUAAUCACUAUAAUAUACUGAUAUGUGAGCAUUGCCCAGUUGACGGGAAGAAAGGAAGGGAAUCCAAGGCAGGCGGACAGCAUGGGCACAGAUCUGGGGACAGGGCUUAGCAUGACAUGGGCAGAGAAUCACUAACAACCCAGGGCAAUGCUAGAGGCAAGUGGAAGACAGGCCAUGGGGGACCACAGGACUAGGGGUGCAGGAGAAUGGACGAGGGCUGGAUCUCAGAAGGCCUUGAAUCUACAUUAGCACCUUUGGACUUUAUCUCAAAGGCACUGGGAAGCUUCAGGGAGAUUACACAGAUGGUUCGACAGAAGAGGAAGUACAUCAUUAGACUUGCAUUUCAGGAGGCUGCAUCCUGCUGCAUGAAGGAUGGAUUGAGGUGGGUGUAUUGGGGGUUGCUGAGUGAACACUAUUGGUGCCCACUCAGAUCCUCAUCACUGGCCCAGUGUACUACUCGCUAGAUGCUCUAAGUCUCGGGGCUGCACACAGCUCACACUUACACUCUUGUGAAGGGAACUGUUCUCGGCCGAAGAGGAACCCUAUCCCCUGGGAUGUGGCACAUCCUUCAGUGACUGAUAGUAGAGGGAGAGUGAUCAACUGGCUCGCCACUUGCCCAGUCUGCCGAGGACUGAGGGGUUCCCUGGUACACAGGACUUACAGUGAAAAAACCAGUAAUGUUCCGGAAGAACCAGAAAAAUUGUUUACUCUAAUGGGGGCACCCGAGGCCUCUUUGCCUCAAGGUUGGACCAAGUGUGUAGUACCAUUCAUGUUCCAAGGCUCCCAUGGGGUCAGGUGGAAGCAAGUCUCUGCUGAGGCCACAUCCCCACUCAGCUCCUUUCCCCACCCCAUCCUACCUCUCUCCUCGCCUUCCCCCUGCAAACUCUCCCUCAACACAUGAGCCAGGGCACCCAAACCCCUGCUGCUUCUGGCUCUGCUUCCAGGAAACCCAAACUAACAUAAGGGCAGGACUAGAGGCAAACAGUCCUGUUAGGAGGAAGAGACCAGAAGCCCAGAUUAAGGCAGUGAUGGAUGAGCUGAAGUGAGAGAGGAGAAAGCUUCAGGAAUACUUGGACUUUUUUUCAUGCCAUCCUCCAAAUCAAUUCAGUCCCAGGAAGCCCUCCUUUGAGCUCUUCCCACCUGUGCUAUGAUUAUUUAUCAAGGAUCCUCUCCCCAGUGCGACUGUGUUGUCUUCAAGGGCAGACAGCACUCCCUGUUUGUUAUUUCCAGGUUCUCAGCUCAGGAACUGAUUUUGAGCUAAAAUUGUAGGUGAUGUUUGCCGAGUGUCUGCUUAAGUGCUGUGAAGAGGGUGGCUAAGCCCAGUUAAUGCUCAGAAGCCCUUGGGGUCUCUUAAGGUUCCCUGUGGGUCAGCUCUAGGCUAGACUUCUCUGGAGCCUCUGCCCUUGCUUGGCCCGUUCCCUUCCCUCUCCUGCUUCCUACUCUCUUUUAGGAAUUUAUUCUGGGGGAGCUCCCUUGGUAUACCUUGUGUACCUGAAUCCUUGCCUCAGGCUCUGCUUCUGAACAACUUGACCUAAGGCAACAUCCAAGUACCUAAUGGUUUCCCCUCCUCUUAGUGGAGGGAGUUCACAGACUUCCUGACUUUUUCACCCAAGACUGAAGAUUCAGAUGAAAAAGACCCUGAGACUUUAGGAGUCUGGAGGUUUGAAGGGGAGCUGCCAGGAGCAAACAGAAUGUCCUGGGCCACUCUGUAUGCUGGAACAGUACUGUGUGUAUGGCGGGCUCUAGUGUGCAGAGCAGACUUUGGCCCUUGCAAGGACUUGUCUAAGCCUCAAGGGCUCAACUCUCAAAGCGCAUAAGUCCCCAGUGCUUUUGCAUCCUCAGGCCUGUGGCCACAUUGUUUAUUGAAGUAGUUGCUUUUAGAGAAAUGGAACCUAGGGUGUAAUGGAAAGAGAAAUGUGUUACAGGGGCCAAGGUAUGAAUCCUGGUUCUACCAACCUUGCAGCUGGGCAACUAUGGACAACUGAUUUAAACUCUUGGUGUCUCAGUUUCUUCUUCUGUAAAAUGAGGAUAAUAAUAGCACUGACCUUAUAGGGUUGUUGGGAGGACUGAGUUACUCUAUGCAAAGCAUUUAGAAAAGUACCUGGUUUAGUAUGUGCUCAGUAAAUGUUAGCUAUCAUUAUGAUAUAAUAGCAAUGGUAGAAUAGUAAUGAUUAUAUAGCAAAUUAUAAAUGUAUCUAUUAUUAUUUGCAAUCACAUCCUUGCUUACCACGCUUGCACAGCCCUGGCCUCCCUUCAAUGUCUAUCAACCUGGACCAUACUGAUGCCUUGGGCUGGAUAAUCCCUUAUUGUUGGGCUCUGUCCUGUACACGGUGGAAUAUUUAUAAGCAUCUCUAGCCUUUACACGCUAGGUGCCAGUAACAUCCUAACCCUCCUCCCCUAAGUUGUGACAACCAAAAAUGUUGCCAGACAUUUUACAAAUAUUCUUUGGGGGAUCAAAAUGCCCCUGGUUGAGACCACAGGCCUUGAACAGGUAGAGAUCUUUCUUCCCCUCCAGAUUGCAUGUUUUUCCCCUUUGACUGAGGUAGCUCUUCCUUCCUUUCUACCCUUCACUGGUUCCUCCUUCUUCAUUCUCUCCAAAAGAGGCCCUCUCCUACCACCCCAUCCUCCUGUUUAUUUCUAUCUCCAUCCUUGGCAUAUUCCUGUGUGGUUUUUAUCACAAUGUGUUGUUAUUUCAUUGAUUUGCUUAUUGAAUUCAGUUUGUCCCACCUACUAGAUGUGGGAUCCAUGGUAGCAGGAUCCAUGUCUGCCUUGAUUGCUGAUCUAUUCCUGGUGCCAAGCAUGGGGUGGACAUAGAACAGACCCUCGGUCACCAUGUGCUCUGGAUGAACAAACAAGCCAGCUCUCAUGGUGGACAAGCUGCCCAAAGCCGCUGGGAAGCUUACCUUCUGG